rnacentral:rRNA from 1 species
UGGGGAAUAUUGCACAAUGGAGGAAACUCUGAUGCAGCAACGCCGCGUGAGUGAUGAAGGUCUUCGGAUCGUAAAACUCUGUCUUAUGGGACGAUAAUGACGGUACCAUAGGAGGAAGCCACGGCUAACUACGUGCCAGCAGCCGCGGUAAUACGUAGGUGGCAAGCGUUGUCCGGAUUUACUGGGCGUAAAGGAUGUGUAGGCGGAUAUUUAAGUGAGAUGUGAAAUCCCCGGGCUUAACUUGGGGGCUGCAUUUCAAACUGGAUGUCUAGAGUGCAGGAGAGGAAAGCAGAAUUCCUAGUGUAGCGGUGAAAUGCGUAGAGAUUAGGAAGAAUACCGGUGGCGAAGGCGGCUUUCUGGACUGUAACUGACGCUGAGGCAUGAAAGCGUGGGGAGCAAACA